UAAUUAUUAUAUAUAGUCGUUCACUAAAUAUAAAUAACUCAAUUUUAGAAUAAAUAGUAAAAUAGUAUGAUGUACUAACUACUACCUUUGUGUAGACAUACCUUCUUCAUCAGACCAGGCAACACAUUUUGGCAAAAAGCCCAACGUCUUCUAUAGUCAAUACCUUGAUUCCAAUCUGUAGAAGAGAAAUAACAAAGAGAAAUAUGUCUUUUAUGAAACCUCCCCUGAAGUGUUUUAAUCAACUUCCCAAAAGAUCCAUGGCGAUGGGAAGAACUGUGUCAAACUGCAAUCGACUGUUUUAUUUUUUAUAUACCAUAUAUAGAAAAGAAUAAACUCGC